ACCUAGAGUCAGUUGGCUGCUGUGAGGAGAAGAAGGAGUCAGUGCUCUGAGGGGCUGCCCCCAAGAAGGCAGAUUCUGUUCCUCCCAGUAGGUCUUUGAGAGCUGCUGAAAACUAACACAAGCUCUGGGAGAUCUGGGCAAGAAAUAUUAGGGAAAGGCUAGAAGCAGCAAUUCUGAAAACUGAUCCCAAGCAGCUGCUCACCAAGAGCAUGCAAGUACCCCUUGAGGAGGAUGACUGAAAUGGGGAUGUGCCUCCUGCUUUCACUCCCAUCACUGGGAUGGAUCCAUGCCCAGGGGCACCAAUCAGAAAUCAGCAGCUGGUGAGGAUCUUCCUGUUCUCCCUGGGAGCUGAUCAAGGGAACUUCCUCCUCAGUGCUUCCCAAGCAGCCCCCGAUGCUCCAGUCCCCUGCAGAGGCCCCUGUGCCGUGCAG